CCGGAUCCGGAUGGCCGGUGUGUUUGUGUCGCUGCAGCCUGCAGGGCGGAUCAAUGCUGCAUCAGGUUGAUGCAGGAGGCGCCGCGGCGCUCGGGGAAGUCGGAGCAGGGAGGGCUUUCCCUGAUUUACAGAGAGGAUUAAAAAAACGGAGCAGAGGGAGGAGAGAAGGAGAGCUGCAGUGACGGAGGAGGAAACAGGCAGAGAGGGAAAGAAGAGCUCAGAGGACGGACGCUCGUCUCGCUCGGUCGGCUGUAAUUUGGGAAUGUUUGGGUCAGGAAUGUCAGGGGUUUCCCGGUGAGCGGCCCAGCGGGACUCUUCCUCUUCUCCUCUUCAUCAUAUCAGGAGAGGCGAGGAAGAGGAGGAUGGAGACGUGAAGAGGAAGAGGCGCGGUUAUGUAACCUCUCCUGCAGAGCGGAGCAGCAGUGAAGGAGGUGAAGGUGGGCGGCAGCUUCCAAAUCACAAAACAGAGACAGAAAACAUCCGAUUUCAGUCAAACUGGAGCCGCUGGGCUCAAAGCGGCUGAAUUAUCAGACCUGAUGGUGGAUUAAUAAUCUCAGAUUACAGAAUAUUUGCCGCAGAUGAAACCCAGACAAACCCCCAGAUAAUCUGAGGAAACAAUCCAUCUCUGCUGCCGACUCCCAUCGCUAACUAGAAACAACCAAUCAGAGCCAGGAGGCGGGGCUUAGCGCUGUCAAUCACCCUCCAUUUGGCGCUGCUCAAUCUGCUCUUUUCCUCCCUGUUUGGGUUUUUGAAGACAGUUUUUAUGAUGCUAAUAUUUGAUGCUGUUAGGUGUCGUUAUUUCAUCUGUUUGUUUGGUGCUUUUCUCUGGAGACAAUUUGAACAAAAACAUCCAAACUUAAGUUUCACACUGCAGCUUUAAUUCAUCACAGUAAACACACUGAGAUGCAGCCGAUCAGGAGGAAACCCACAAAAUCCCAAAGUUACGCAAAACAGUCGCCAUCAACGUGACGCAACAACGUGUCAUGGCAACGAUGCACUGGACCAGCAACUGUUGCAGCAACUGUUGCAACAUGCAAUCUAUGAAUAGGAUGUAACCAAGAAACGGUAAAAACAAGAAUCAUCAUUUUAAUGAGCUGAAGCUGAACUCCAAGAUGAAGCAAACGAUAAUAAAAAUGACCGGUUGGUACCAAACCAGAAAAUUCAGAAACAAACAGAACAAACUGACAAACUAAACAUAUUUACAGAAGGGUCCAAAGUGUGGCUCUGGGGCCAUCUGGGGCCCCUAGAGCAGCACUGUUCGGCCCCUGACUUGGGUUCCUGCAGACUGACUGACAGUCAUUUCCUGGGAAGGAUUUUAAAUUAGGGAUGAUAUAUCGGUAUCGGUAUCGGUAUCGGCUGAUAAGUGAAACUGGGCUGACAUUAAUAACCGAUGAUUAUCUCCAUCUUGUUGCUGUUUGUUGAUGGAGGUUGAAAUGGAUGAGCUGCUCAUGUGAUGCAGCUCAAGAUUUAAGACCAACGAUUAAUCCGAUUAUUCAUGAUUAACUAAUUAUUGAAAUAAUUAUCAGCUAAUUUACUGAUCGAUUCAUCGUUAAUUCAGACUCUAAAACAGGCAUUUUGCUGAAAGAACAACAAACUCAGAGCAGAAAUUAAAUCAAAACAGUAAAAAAUAAACAUUUUGAAUUUGGGAAAAUUAAACAAAAACUUUGUCCAGAAUCCUAAAGUGGCAGUUUU